rnacentral:rRNA from 1 species
GACGGGGGAGGCAAGCGAUAUCCGGAAUUAUUGGGCGUAAAGCGUCCGCAGGUGGCGAUUCAAGUCUGCUGUAAAAGGUCGGGGCUUAACCCCGGGAAGGCAGUGGAAACUGAAUAGCUAGAGUGCGGUAGGGGCAGAGGGAAUUCCCGGUGUAGCGGUGAAAUGCGUAGAGAUCGGGAAGAACACCAGUGGCGAAAGCGCUCUGCUGGGCCUGCACUGACACUGAGGGACGAAAGCUAGGUGAGCGAAAGGG